rnacentral:rRNA from 1 species
UACGUAGGGUGCGAGCGUUAUUCGGAAUUACUGGGCGUAAAGCGUGCGUAGGCGGUUAUUUAAGUCGGAUGUGAAAGCCCCGGGCUCAACCUGGGAAUUGCAUUCGAGACUGAAUAGCUAGGGUACGGUAGAGGGAAGUGGAAUUUCCGGUGUAGCGGUGAAAUGCGUAGAUAUCGGAAGGAACAUCAGUGGCGAAAGCGACUUCCUGGACCAGUACCGACGUUCAGGCACGAAAGCGUGGGGAGCAAACAGG